rnacentral:rRNA from 1 species
AUGGAUCCCGAUUCGGUGUCGAAGGCGUUCGUGCAGCACUACUACCAGACGUUCGACUCCAACCGCGCCGCGCUGGUGGGGCUGUACCAGGACGGCUCCAUGCUCACCUUCGAGGGCGAGAAGUUCGGCGGCCCCGCCGCCAUCGCCGGCAAGCUCGGAUCUCUCCCCUUCCAGCAGUGCCAGCACAAGAUCGACACCGUCGACUGCCAGCCCUCGGGGCCCCAGGGCGGCGUCCUCGUCUUCGUCUCCGGCACCAUCACCACCGGCCCCGGCGAGCACCCCCUCAAGUUCUCACAGAUGUUCCAUUUGCUGCCAGCUGGAGGGAGCUUCUACGUGCAGAACGACAUGUUCCGCCUGAACUAUGGUUAA